CAACCUCAACUCAUAUGGGACUACCCCCUGAAUUUAAGCAUAUUAAUUAGGGGAGGAAAAGAAACUAACAAGGAUUUUCUUAGUAGCGGCGAGCGAAAAGAAAACAGUUCAGCACUAAGUCACUUUGUCUAUAUGGCAAAUGUGAGAUGCAGUGUAUGGAGCGUCAAUAUUCUAGUAUGAGAAAUUAAUGAUUUAAGUCCUUCUUAAAUGAGGCCAUUUACCCAUAGAGGGUGCCAGGCCCGUAUAACGUUAAUGAUUACUAGAUGAUGUUUCCAAAGAGUCGUGUUGCUUGAUAGUGCAGCACUAAGUGGGUGGUAAACUCCAUCUAAAACUAAAUAUAACCAUGAGACCGAUAGUAAACAAGUACCGUGAGGGGGAAAGUUGAAAAGAACUCUGAAUAGAGAGUUAAACAGUACGUGAAACUGCUUAGAGGUUAAGCCCGAUGAACCUGAAUAUCCGUUAUGGAAAAUUCAUCAUUAAAAUUGUAAUAUUUAAAUAAUAUUAUUAAGAAUAAUGUGCAUUUUUUCCAUAUAAGGACAUUGUAAUCUAUUAGCAUAUCCCAAAUUUAUCAUAAAAUAUAACUUAUAGUUUAUUCCAAUUAAAUUGCUUGCAUUUUAACACAGAAUAAAUGUUAUUAAUUUGAUAAAGUGCUGAUAGAUUUAUAUUAUUACAGAGCGUUAAUUUUUCGGAAUUAUAUAAUGGCAUAAUUAUCAUUGAUUUUUUGUGUUAUUAUAUGCUCUUGUAUGAUUAACAAUGCGAAAGAUUCAGGAUACCUUCGGGACCCGUCUUGAAACACGGACCAAGGAGUCUAACAUAUGUGCAAGUUAUUGGGAUGUAAACCUAAUAGCGUAAUUAACUUGACUAAUAAUGGGAUUAGUUUUUUAGCUAUUUAUAGCUAAUUAACACAAUCCCGGGGCGUUCUAUAUAGUUAUGUAUAAUGUAUAUUUAUAUUAUUUAUGCCUCUAACUGGAACGUACCUUGAGCAUAUAUGCUGUGACCCGAAAGAUGGUGAACUAUACUUGAUCAGGUUGAAGUCAGGGGAAACCCUGAUGGAAGACCGAAACAGUUCUGACGUGCAAAUCGAUUGUCAGAAUUGAGUAUAGGGGCGAAAGACCAAUCGAACCAUCUAGUAGCUGGUUCCUUCCGAAGUUUCCCUCAGGAUAGCUGGUGCAUUUUAAUAUUAUAUAAAAUAAUCUUAUCUGGUAAAGCGAAUGAUUAGAGGCCUUAGGGUCGAAACGAUCUUAACCUAUUCUCAAACUUUAAAUGGGUAAGAACCUUAACUUUCUGAUAUGAAGUUCAAGGUUAUGAUAUAAUGUGCCCAGUGGGCCACUUUUGGUAAGCAGAACUGGCGCUGUGGGAUGAACCAAACGUAAUGUUACGGUGCCCAAAUUAACAACUCAUGCAGAUACCAUGAAAGGCGUUGGUUGCUUAAAACAGCAGGACGGUGAUCAUGGAAGUCGAAAUCCGCUAAGGAGUGUGUAACAACUCACCUGCCGAAGCAACUAGCCCUUAAAAUGGAUGGCGCUUAAGUUGUAUACCUAUACAUUACCGCUAAAGUAGAUGAUUUAUAUUACUUGUGAUAUAAAUUUUGAAACUUUAGUGAGUAGGAAGGUACAAUGGUAUGCGUAGAAGUGUUUGGCGUAAGCCUGCAUGGAGCUGCCAUUGGUACAGAUCUUGGUGGUAGUAGCAAAUAAUCGAAUGAGACCUUGGAGGACUGAAGUGGAGAAGGGUUUCGUGUGAACAGUGGUUGAUCACGAGUUAGUCGGUCCUAAGUUCAAGGCGAAAGCCGAAAAUUUUCAAGUAAAACAAAAAUGCCUAACUAUAUAAACAAAGCGAAUAUAAUACACUUGAAUAAUUUUGAACGAAAGGGAAUACGGUUCCAAUUCCGUAACCUGUUGAGUAUCCGUUUGUUAUUAAAUAUGGGCCUCGUGCUCAUCCUGGCAACAGGAACGACCAUAAAGAAGCCGUCGAGAGAUAUCGGAAGAGUUUUCUUUUCUGUUUUAUAGCCGUACUACCAUGGAAGUCUUUCGCAGAGAGAUAUGGUAGAUGGGCUAGAAGAGCAUGACAUAUACUGUUGUGUCGAUAUUUUCUCCUCGGACCUUGAAAAUUUAUGGUGGGACACGCAAACUUCUCAACAGGCCGUACCAAUAUCCGCAGCUGGUCUCCAAGGUGAAGAGUCUCUAGUCGAUAGAAUAAUGUAGGUAAGGGAAGUCGGCAAAUUAGAUCCGUAACUUCGGGAUAAGGAUUGGCUCUGAAGAUUGAGAUAGUCGGGCUUGAUUGGGAAACAAUAACAUGGUUUAUGUGCUCGUUCUGGGUAAAUAGAGUUUCUAGCAUUUAUGUUAGUUACUUGUUCCCCGGAUAGUUUUUUACGUAGCCAAUUGUUUCUUGCUAAAAUUUUUAAAUAUAUUUGGGUUAAACCAAUUAGUUCUUAUCAAUUAUAACGAUUAUCAAUUAACAAUCAAUUCAGAACUGGCACGGACUUGGGGAAUCCGACUCAAAGCAUUGUGAUGGCCCUAGCGGGUGUUGACACAAUGUGAUUUCUGCCCAGUGCUCUGAAUGUCAAAGUGAAGAAAUUCAAGCCAAGGAGAACCCGGUCCACAAGCGGGUAAUUAACUCCUUGCUCAGCAAAUUUAAUUUUAUGGGGAAUAAUGACCCAAGGAAGGUUAGCUCCCCGUUAUCUCACUACAAUUUCUGCGGUAAGGUACUUUACUUGCCUUUUUGCCCUUUAAUAAAAUUAGGCGUUCCUCCUUCGUUUUGGGGCGCGCCGCGUCCAAUUCAUGGAACCAUAUGGGCCAAAUGAAUGCUUCUCGAUAGGCGGCCAAAAUCUAAUUAGUGAUGAAUGGAUUAACGAGGUCCUAUCUAGCGAAAUCGGGGAAAGAAGACCCUUUUGAGCUUGACUCUAAUCUGGCAGUGUAAGGAGACAUAAGAGGUGUAGAAUAAGUGGGAGAUAUUAGACCUCGGUUUGGUAUCGUCAAUGAAAUUACUCUUAUUGUUUCCUUACUUACUUGAUUAAAUGGAACGUGUAUCAUUUCCUAGCCAUUAUACGGAUAUAUUUAUUAUAUCUUAUGGUAUUGGGUUUUGAUGCAAGCUUCUUGAUCAAAGUAUCACGAGUUUGUUAUAUAAUCGCAAACAAUUCUUUAAUAAAACGAUGCAUUUAUGUAUUUUGAUUUGAAAAUUUGGUAUAACUCCAAUUACUCAGGUAUGAUCCAAUUCAAGGACAUUGCCAGGUAGGGAGUUUGACUGGGGCGGUACAUCUCUCAAAUAAUAACGGAGGUGUCCCAAGGCCAGCUCAGUGCGGACAGAAACCACACAUAGAGCAAAAGGGCAAAUGCUGACUUGAUCUCGGUGUUCAGUACACACAGGGACAGCAAAGCUCGGCCUAUCGAUCCUUUUGGUUUAAAGAGUUUUUAACAAGAGGUGUCAGAAAAGUUACCAUAGGGAUAACUGGCUUGUGGCGGCCAAGCGUUCAUAGCGACGUCGCUUUUUGAUCCUUCGAUGUCGGCUCUUCCUAUCAUUGUGAAGCAAAAUUCACCAAGCGUUGGAUUGUUCACCCAUGCAAGGGAACGUGAGCUGGGUUUAGACCGUCGUGAGACAGGUUAGUUUUACCCUACUAAUGACAAAACGUUGUUGCGACAGCAUUCCUGCGUAGUACGAGAGGAACCGCAGGUACGGACCAAUGGCACAAUACUUGUUCGAGCGAACAGUGGUAUGACGCUACGUCCGUUGGAUUAUGCCUGAACGCCUCUAAGGUCGUAUCCGUGCUGGACUGCAAUGAUAAAAGGGGCAAUUUGCAUUGUAUGGCUUCUAAACCAUUUAAAGUUUAUAAUUUAUUUUAUAAACGACAAUGGAUGUGAUGCCAAUGUAAUUUGUAACAUAGUAAAUUAGGAGGAUCUUCGAUCACCUGAUGCCGCGCUAGUUACAUAUAAAAGCAUUAUUUAAUACAAUGACAAAGCCUAGAAUCAAUUGUAAACGACUUUUGUAACAGGCAAGGUGUUGUAAGUGGUUGAGCAGCUGCCAUACUGCGAUCCACUGAAGCUUAUCCUUUGCUUGAUGAUUCGA